rnacentral:rRNA from 1 species
CCUACGGGGGGCAGCAGUGAGGAAUAUUGGUCAAUGGACGGAAGUCUGAACCAGCCAUGCCGCGUGCAGGAAGACGGCUCUAUGAGUUGUAAACUGCUUUUGUACAAGGGUAAACCUGAAUACGUGUAUUCAGCUGAAAGUACUGUACGAAUAAGGAUCGGCUAACUCCGUGCCAGCAGCCGCGGUAAUACGGAGGAUCCAAGCGUUAUCCGGAUUUAUUGGGUUGAAAGGGUGCGUAGGCGGAUUGAUAAGUUAGAGGUGAAAUGUCCGAGCUUAACUCGGGAACUGCCUCUAAUACUGGUGAUCUAGAGAGUAGAUGCGGUAGGCGGAAUGUAGGGUGUAGCGGUGAAAUGCAUAGAUAUCACGCAGAACCCCGAUUGCGAAGGCAGCCUUCCGGCGCCCUACUGACGCUGAGGCACGAAAGUGCGGGGAUCGAACAGGAUUAGAUACCCUUGUAGUC